rnacentral:rRNA from 1 species
UACGUAGGGGGCAAGCGUUGUUCGGAAUUACUGGGCGUAAAGGGCGCGUAGGCGGUUGGAUAAGUCAGCUGUGAAAACCACGGGCUUAACUCGUGGCCUGCAGUUGAGACUGUCUGGCUUGAGUGUGGGAGAGGAGAGUGGAAUUCCUGGUGUAGCGGUGAAAUGCGUAGAUAUCAGGAGGAACACCGGUGGCGAAGGCGGCUCUCUGGACCACAACUGACGCUGAGACGCGAAAGCGUGGGGAGCAAACAGG